CCUACGGGUGGCAGCAGUGAGGAAUAUUGGUCAAUGGGCGAGAGCCUGAACCAGCCAAGUCGCGUGAGGGAGUACUGCCCUAUGGGUUGUAAACCUCUUUUGUCGGGGAGCAAAAGCCGGACGUGUCCGGCUGUGGGAGUACCCGAAGAAAAAGCAUCGGCUAACUCCGUGCCAGCCGCCGCGGUAAUACGGAGGAUGCGAGCGUUAUCCGGAUUUAUUGGGUUAAAAGGGUGCGCAGGCGGAUUUUUUAGUCAGCGGUAAAAUCGUGGGGGCCAACCCCAUCCAGUCGUUGAAACUGGGGAUCUAGAGUGUGCGAAGGGUAGGCGGAAUGCGUGGUGUAGCGGUGAAAUGCAUAGAUAUCACGCAGAACCCCGAUUGCGAAGGCAGUAUACCGGUGCACAACUGACGCUCAUGCACGAAAGCGUGGGUAUCGAACAGGAUUAGAUACCCGUGUAGUC
rnacentral:rRNA from 1 species